rnacentral:lncRNA from 1 species
UCACACUCAUUCCUGUCAACAUCUUGGAAAAAGGAAUUUGCAAGCAAGUCAUUGAAAUACUUGUUGCCUUCGUCUUCCAUCCUCCCAUUUGAUGGCCUGAGAAAACCUUCAGCCAUCCAAAGUUGAACCAGCUCUUCCCUUUCAAUUUCAAAAUCUUUAGGGAAAAUGGAACAGUAUGCAAAACAUUUUUUCAGUGUUGGCGAUGACAGUUAAUCAAAACUUAAUCUCAAUACUCGCAAAGCUUUAUCUCCAUCCGGAGAAUCCCAAAUUCUACUGUUUAGAAUUGACUUCCAUUCCUGCGUCUCCUUUUGGCGCAGUGUUCCUCCCAAAACUUUAGCAAGUAAUGGAAUCCCUCCACAUUUCUUUGCAAUCUGUUUUCCAAUAGACUCCAAGUCUGAAGGUAUUGUUUCUUGUCCACCCCUGCUCACCUUUUGCUUGAUAAUGGACCAACAUUGAUCAGCGGAUAGUCUCCCUGGCUCGUGCUGAAUCCCAGGAGAAGUCUCCAUCAUGCCUGCUACUUUCUUACUGCGGGUUGUAACAACAACAGCAUUCCCAUUCUUGCUGUUAAUUUUUAACAGUCGCUCCUUCAAAUCAUCCCACUUACCAUGGUCUUCAUUCCACACGUCAUCAAGAACAAGAAAAAAUGUCUUAUUUUCCAGCUCUUUCAUAAGGUUUUGAAGAAUUGCAUCAAGACUGUUCAACCCACCCGUAGUUUUGUCAAUCAUUUGCAACAUUGCUCCUAAAAUCUUCACUUGAUUAAAAUCAUUAGAAACACAAACCCAAAUUGUUAAAUCAAAGUGUUUUCUCUCCCUCACUACUGCACAAACUUUUUUUGCUACAGUAGUCUUUCCAAGGCCAGCCAUCCCCACUAUAGGGACAACCGAAAGGACAUGUUGGUGUUUGGUCAAGCUAGUCAGCAUAUCCAUAACUAUAGAAACAUCAUCCUCCCUUCCUACAAUUUCUGAGCUGUCAAGGAAGGAAUCUGUCUGUCGAUCUUGAUCCCAGCUAACUUCUUGAGCUCUAUCUACAUGUAGAGAUGUCAAUUGAAAUACAGCUGCAUCUUUUCGAAUUUCAUCCAGUGCUCCAUUGAUCUCCUUAACUUUUUGACCCAUAUUCAGACGGAAUGCGACAGGGUUGUGGAGUGAAAAGCAGUCACGUACCUUUCCCUUCUUUUGGUCUUUUCGGAGAAUCUCAUAAGCAAACUCGUCUAGAACAUCUUCAGCAUCGUAAGCUACAUCUUGUAGUUUCUCCAGCCAACCCUUCACAGAAUCGUCUGUGACUGACCUUCUUGCUGCAUCUUGGAGCACAUCUCUGAUCAUGAUCAAGGACUGCUUGAGCUUUCGCAGCUGUCCCUCCAAUCCCCAAGCAAGUCUGAUCCCUUCAGCAGCUAUGGAACCGACCCUUGUCAAAGUCUCCUCCAUGGUAAACGUAAGAAGAAGCUCUACUGCCAUAUUCUCUUGUUUUCUCUGGGAAAUCAAAGAAGAAAGAUCGAGCACAAGAGAGAUAAAAAUGGUCUGAAAGUUUUGAAAUAGAGACGAAAUGAAGUGCGUUUUGCGAUGGGGAUAUGCAUUCAACUUCAAAGCAGAGGGUCCCUCCCUCACUGCAUUAAUUGAUUGAUGGCAGUUGGCAGCAUCUUCCACUAUCCACUACGGUCAAACUUGGCACGCUGAAGCCAAGACAAGGACCCUCUCUUCGUAUCCAGUUCAAGACAUUAAAAGAAUAAUUUAUAAGUCUUCUUCCAGUCUUUCAUGCGUUCUUUCUUUCCUUUUUUUUUUUUUUUUUUAUGCAGCGAGUUGUUAAGGACAUGAUUUAAAACAAAAACAAAUAUAUUUAAUUGCAUUUCCUAAUCUUACGUACAACAGUCUUCUGCAAAGUCUUUCUUUAUAUAAACAUAUAUUUAAGUUAAAAAGUAUUCCAAUAGCCGGCCAAUUGCUUUCUAGGAUUCGACUUUUUCAAUCAAUGUGAUGAGAUUUGUCAUAUGAUUUAGUAUUAUUGCAGUAUGAAGUCAUCCAUUCACUACUUGUUCAAGGCCCUCAAUUAUAUUUCUCAAAUGGGACAAAAACAAAUGGCAGACAAGAGAGCUUGCGACCUGCACAUCCGAUGUGAUCACCCCCAUCGUCACCCUAAACAUUAAUUGUCAAUAAUCGGAUUAAUUAUUAUUGAUCCAUGUUUAUUUGAACUUAUUUGAUAUCAUAUUUGUAUUUGGUUUCAUAUAAAGAAAAACACUCAAGGUGGCUGCGUUUUCCAGAAUCACAUGAUCUAACCCCUGUUUUUAGCUAGGUUCUCUUUGCCAUUGGACUUUUCUUCGAGUGUUGUGCGAAUACAAAGGGAGCACCGCACCCUGAUGUGCCUGACCAUAUUAAUUAUUUCUUUUUGCUGUCUUUAGAACAGUGUUGUGUUUCAUUCUCCUUUCCUAUGCACAAUCCAUUUCCAUGUGCUUUAGCCUAUUCCCUCAAUAGUUUACAGAAGUGUUUGCCAUGUGAUACUGCGAGAUGCCCCCUUGCUUUCUGCAAUUCUUUUUUUUUUUUUUUUUGUCUGGCUAAACGAUGAAUAUUCAUGAACAUCAUUAGAAAACUAAAAUAAUUACUGAAUUUGACAUUAAUCACAGUUAAUUGUGUGUGUGUGUGUGUAUCUGAGUUAACGUAUUGUGAUGAAAGUAAGCAGUUGGCCGGUCAGUUGCUUUCUAGGAAUUUUAUUCUUACGGUGAAGAAAAUAAUAGAGAUUUAGGGUAGGAUCCCAAUCCCAAUUCACCAAAUAUCUUCUAUUACCCAGCAUAAUAUUAUAUUAUAUAAUAAUAUUUAUGAAUUAUUGUAGGAUUUUAUUGUUAAAAAAUUCUCUUAUAUAAUAUAAAUAUAUAAAGUAUAUGAUGUGAAUAAAAAAAUUAUUUCUAUCAACCUUAAUAUAAUAAUAUUAAAAUUAUAAUUUUUCUAAAUACUUUAUUUUAUUUCAAAGAGUUAAUUGCAAUUAUCUAAAUUCACAAAAAAUCUGGAAUCAAGAUACUGAAAAUUAACAACUGGAAAUACUUACCAUUAGACUUCUUAUCUUGUUUUGGUUUCACAUGAGGAAUAUCUUUACAGUUGUUUUUUUAUAUUAAAGAUCUCGUUUGUUUGUUGGAAAGUUUUUUUUUUUUGAAAAGUAAAUUUCGAGAAAGUGAAUUUUUUUUUAAUUUUGGUAGUGUAAUGAAAAAUAAGUUGGAAAACACUUUUCAGUAUUUGGUUAUGUCAGGGAAAAUGAGCUGAAAAAUAACUUAUUAAUGUUUUAUUUUUUUCAAGUUUAUUAAAAUAAUGAGGAACAAAUCUUACAAAUUAAAAAGUUGAAUGAGAAUGAAAUUGAAAAAAAUAUAAUUUCAUAAAUUAUCUCAAAUAAAAUAAAUAAUAAUCAAAAUAAUAGAGAUCAAAUCUAACAAAUAAAAAAAUUGAAAGAUGAAGAAAUUAAAAUAAUAAUAAUAACCAUUUCAUAAAUUAUUUCAAAUAAAAUAAGUAACAAUCAAAAGAAUGAGGACCAAAUUUGAUAGAUAAAAAAUUUCAAUUAAAAAAUGAUAAGGAAAAAGCAAAUAACAAUUAUAAAAAUGAGGACAAAGUUAAUAUAAAAAUCAAAUUUUAAGGGAUGAAAUUAAAAAAAAAAUAUUCAAAACAAUAUAUAUAUAACAAUCAAAAAUUUAAGGACCAAAUUAAUUUGAUAUAAUUAGCAAAUAAUAUAACAUUACUAAAUUUUUCACAACUUCCGGAAAGUGUUUUCCGUCCAAAAUAAAAGAAAAACACUUUCAUGGAAACUAAGCCAAAUUUUCUUUUGACUGAAAAAUAUUUUCCGUUGACCAAUUUUCUUAUGGCAAACAAAUAUAGGAAAUUUUAAAAAGUAGUUUCCAGGAAACCACUUUCUACCAAACAAACUAGGCCUAAAUUACAUUUUGUCUUUCAAAUCGCUAGAAGAUAUAUUAUCUAUAUUAAAACUAUAAAAUCUUAAAAAUAAAAUAUACUAAGUAAUUAAUUGAUAAACUCACAUCAAAAUACCAAAAUAAAGCAAGAAAUCUAGAAAAAUAAAUAUUUUUAAAAAACAUGAUAUAAAAAAACAAACAUAUUUAAUUGCAUGAAAAGAACUCAUUGUAUUCAUGAAAAGAAUGUGUUCUUUUUCAGCAAACUUCUUACCAAGAUAUCAAUCAAUCAUACAUAACACCAUGGUUUCAUUUAUAACAUCAUGGUUUCAUUCAUAAAGUUUUUAUGAAAGUUAUGUUAUAUUUUUACCGAUUAUCUAAGUUAUUUUUAGAUCUAUUAAAUUUAAUAAUUCAUUUUGAAUUAACUUUCAUAUGAUUUAAUUUAAAAUUUGAGCUAGAUAAGGAGUCGGGUUGAUAAGUUUUAAAAUCAAACUGUUUAAUUAGAUUUAAUAAUAUUGUUAAAAAAAUCUUCAGACUAACUUGAAUAGAAAAAAUAUUAUCCAUUUAAUGUUAGAUAAUGAUCUGCAUUUCUUAGCAAAACUUGAUUUCUCAUCAAAUUUACGUGAAUUUAGUUUGAACUCUUAAUUAGCAAUUUCUUUUUUGAAUUGUUGAUUUAUAUAAAUGAAUUUAGAGCUUGAAACUUUUUUUUUUUAUUGUAAGAAUAUCAAUGUAGCUAAAUUGUUUCCCCUUAUUUAUUUUUUUCCAAAAAAAUAUACAAAAUAAUAAACAAUUUUUUUUUCUUUUACCAGAGUUUGUAUUUCCUACAUAUUUUCAUGUAAACUAAGCAAUACGUAUAUCAUAACACAGGAGGGAGAGAUAACACAAAGAAACAAUCAAUCUAAUCAUACUACAUCGUUAUAUAUUAUUUAAAAAAAUUAAUCAUUCUGUGUUACUUUCCAGGAAGCAAUAGAAUUUUAUUGUUGACUUUUAUUCUGCAUCCUGACCAGCCUAUGAUUUAUUAUGAUCAACAAAUAGCUCAUUCUCUAGUCUAGAUUUAAUUCUGUCAUGGAUAGAUGAACGUCUUCCCAUCAUUAUUUGUGUGCACUUUGAACUUGUAAGGUUGUAGUCUAGAUUUAGUUCUUUUUUUAUUUUGUUGAUGUUCUAUUUAGCGUCUGCCUGAAAUAUCAGCACCUUAACUCAAAGAUCUAGUUCUGCCAGGUUGGGUUGCUGAAAUCAAGGCUAUUUCUGCCCCCAUAUAAAGUCUCUUAUUUAUGGACUUCUCUUCUCCUGUUACUUGUAGAAUUCUUCUUCUUUCUUUCUGUCCAAUUAUCACUGGAAAACUCCCUCUGGUUGCCGACUUAUAGCAGCUGCAUAUCCACCCUUACAAGGACUCAUGCACACACUCUGCUACCAGGAAUUUCUUUUUCGCUGAUUUCUGCUCUACCUGGGUACUCAUCAGAUCCAUGGUGUAAAACAAGAUCAAAUUGACAUGAUUUUUGGAUCAUUUAUAUCUCUACAUAUACUGGUUGAUAUAAUAUAAAAGAGAGAUGAAGACUUGUAAAGAGAGGAGUCUAUUAAUGAUGGUGACAUCCAUGAAAGGGUCUAAAAAAGAAAUAAAGACCUGGAAUUACAGUUUAGUUUUCAAGACUUGUUGAAGUUUCUAAAACUUUUUGGAUGAAUUAAAAUCGACUUUGUGGUUGGAAUGAGUUUGUAGAGGCUGUUGAAUUUACCACAACUAAUUAAGUUGCUUUUUUCUUCUUGUGCAUGCAAAUCUUAUAUCAGUGGAGAAAAACUUAAUAGAGAGUGGGUAAUGCCUUGCUCAGAUCACAGCAACACUGCAAUUUAGACUUGAAUAAAAUUACUAUUAGGAUCAAACUGGCUCUAUCAUUCUCAGCAGCCAGUAUCAUUCUCAGCAAAUCAGAAUUUGUUUUCCCCAUACAAUUGCGCUAUCUGUUUUAGCAGGCAAUCUUCAGUGAAAAUCUUGAGAAAGUCCCAACUUUCUGUGUAUCUUAAUCAGAAUGAUUCAACCAGACAUCGAAAAGUGGCAUCUGAGCUUCAUUUUGAAACAUAGUUGAAUCAUUUCCUGCCACUUCUCCUGAAAAAUAACAUGGUGGGAUUUCUUGAAACUUAUCCAUAUGUCGUUGAAACCAAACUUUCUAUUCAUGAAUAGGUAGAAAUCAAACGACAUAUGUGGAUAACAUUUGUUUUCUAUUCAUUGUGAAUAGUUGCUGCUUAUUUUUAUAUUUGGCUUCUAGGUUAAGUGUAUGAAGGAAAUGUUCUUUUUCUGACAGUGACGAUAAUAAAAAGCUUGUUGAAAAAGAUAUAACGCAGAGCAACUGUGAACGAAUGGUAAUUAACAGGUAAAAUUAGAUUUAUCCACAGAAAAAAUCUUCACCAUCCAAGCAAUAAGUUUGAUUUCUCAAACUUUCUGCCCUUAAAGCUGGGUUGAGGUCAACAUUAUAAUGUAGACGAAGUGUUUUAGCAGAAACUAAAUUAGAAAAAACAUAAUCCAUCAUGUUGUUAGAGCAUGUGCUGACUUAGUUAAAAACUAGUUGCCAAAAAUAUUUUAAUUUUUUUUCAAAAAUGCUACCAGAAAAAUAUGCUACCAAGUGCUUAAGAACUCAUGUAUCCCUCUGGAUGCUUUUCGUGCCGUGGUAAAUCCUAAAACCGUCGUUUUCAAUGCAGCGCCAGACAUCCCAUGCUACAAUGUCUUCAGUAGAAAGGUAAGAUCUCUCAAAUCUCUGCAGAUCCAAAAUUUCACCACAAAAAUAGAACGAUGUCAUUUGAUAAACAAUACAGUGACUGCCAUUCAAUUGUCAUUUGGUGCUCCUCUCUUUAUUCCAUGCUGUAACUUUCUUUUGCCUGAGAUUUGGUCCGAUGUGCUUGUCUCAACAUGACAAUCCAUGUUCUUGAACUUAUAUCAUUUUAAAAAAAUUAUUUAUUUAUUAACAAAAUAAAAAUAAAAUAAAAAUAAAAUAAUUGUAUAAAUUUUUUUAAAAAAAUAUGAAUUUCAAAAACAUAAGACAAAAAAAGCUAAUUAUUGUUAACUUUUUAAACUGUGAUAAGAGUUAUAAAACCAAAAGUAUUAUAUAUAAAAAAGUCAGAGAGUUAAAAUUACACAAAUUAAAAACACAAAAAAAUUCAAAAUAAAAAAAUAAAAUAAAAAUAAUAAGGGUUAAAACUUAAAAGUGCAAUAAAAAAUAAAUCAAAGGGCAACAACAUAUUAUCAAAUCAAUAACAAUUUGUGUAAAGCAAUGAAAAAAAAUCAUCAACACAUCCGAGAUUUAUUUGAAAAAAGCAAUAUAUAAAAAAAACAAUUUUAAUCUUUAUAAAAUUAAGAAAAAAUCAAAGAUGAAUCAUAUCUUUCUCUUUAGAAGUUAAACACAUCCAAUAUUAUUUAAAAAUAAUCACAAUCUAAUUAAAACAUAAACCCAAGAUUUAUUUGAAAAAAUACAUAUCAAAUAAUGCAUUGUUUUUUUUAUAAAAUUAAAAAAAAAUUAGGCCAGGCCUAGCACUUUGUUCAAUAAAGCAACAACUCAUGUGCGGGUCUGCAAUGCUAGGCUUAAGCACGGGCUUUUAUUUUUUAAAAAAGUUUAAUGGGGCGAGCAAACGCGUCGUCCGCCCUAAGCAUUUAAAAAAAUGACACGUCGUCUGCAUCAGCAGGCAACACAUCGUUUGCGCAACCUAGAAUCCGGUCAUUAUGGCGGUUGGAAAAUCGGGGUUCUCUGUUAUUUUUACCCUAAACCUCAUUUUCAAUCUAUUUUUUACCCAAAAUACCUAGGAACCACCCUAUAAACCUUCUUGAACUAAUUCAUGGCCAUUAAAAAACCGUCAAAAACCCGAAAUCCAUUAUAAAAAAAAUGUUCUCGAGCUUAUAUUUAUUUUUAUUGGUGUUUUCAAGAUAAACAAACACCUAAUCAUAUCCUCCCUCAUCAUAUGAAACCUUUUGAUGGUCGAAACCGUUUUUGUGGCCGAAAUCUUUCCCAACGAACACCUUUUCUCUCUAAGCCGGAAUUUGACGACUCUCUCUCUUUUCCCACCAAAAAAAAAAGAAAAAUGAAGUUAGGUACCAACAUGUAUUUUCUAAAAAUUAAAGGGAUUGGUCACCUAAUAUCUAAAAAAAUAGGGGACUAAAAUGAUUAUUUUAAUAAAAUUUUCAACCCGCCCCCUAUAUUACUCGAGGUUUUCACUUCAGUUUCUUAUCUUUCAAUUCAACCCUCCCUCCUAUAAAAAUAUACAAUUGAGAUUUAAUUUGGAUUUAAGAAGGUUAAAUCACACAAAAUAAAAUUUUACAGAUCAAAGUAAAUUUUUUUUUUUUAAAAAUGGAAUGCUCAAAUCCAGUAUUAUAUGAGUGAGUGCAUAGUAAACAAAAGAGAAACUAAUCUAUUUCUGUAUAUUGUAUAAUAUAAUUAUAAAAAUAAAAUAAAACAACUUGGAUCAUUCAAAACAGACAUGCAUUAUCUAUAUACGUCCUAUCCAACAAAAACAACCUUAACUAGUUUUUUUAAUUUUAAUUAUAAUUAUAAAAAAAUAAUAAUAAAAGGAUUGGUGAAUCUACUGUGCAUCAAGACACGUGUCUCUAUUCAUUCAUUGGAGCAGUAGUACAUCUACAUUUUGCCUCACGGUCAAGUUAUCUUGCCUGGCUUUUGUCUCAUCUGUUAGGGAUGAGCAAAAAAAUUGAAAAACCGAUUUAAUCGAGAAAAUCGAAAAAAAAAUUAACCGAAAAAACCGAACCGAUAAAAAAAGCCGAUUGAACCGGUUAAAAUAUUUAGGAAAAUAUCCGGUUCGGUACGGUUUCCGGUUUUGGUAUGCCUAAACCGGUCAACUCAAACCAAACCGGUUUGGUUUAGGAAUGAAAAAAUAAAUAAACCAAGCGGUCCAAGCCACGGGCCGCCUCCUCCCAUUACUUUCCCUUUCAACAACCCUAGUAAACCAUUUAUCUGUUUUCCCUUUCACACAGCCGCCCCCUCCCCUCCAACCCUUUCAAUUUUCAUUCACACUUCACAAUGACACAGCCGCCUCGUUCGAUCAUCCCUACUCCCAUUAACAGCCGACCCUGCCCCCUCCCAUUAACAGCCUCCUCCUCUUCACCAGUCAAUGAGCUUAGGCUAUUCUCGAACGACUAUUCUUCGCAUCUCGAAAGAAAUCGUCGUGCGUGUGAGGUGGUGAAACUGUUACUGCUUCCAGAGCUUCUUCAAUCUAUUGCUUCUAUCAAAGCCGAUUACAUCGCUCAAGUAAUCUUGUCAUGUAAUUACAGAUUUAAUUAAUUGUUGCUUGUUGAUUUUAUAUUGUUUCUAUUUUCUAUUUUGAUGUGUUAAUUAUUUUAAACAAUGUAAAAAUAAAGGUGGACGAAAGAACACAAUCUGGAAAGGAAAUUGGAAUCGUUGUCCCUGUCUCAGAUUUUCAGAAGACGAUCAAUCACAAACAAUAUGUCCUUAUUUUUUUUUCCUUCUUUUCUUUCUCAUGGGUAGAUUGGAAUUUGGAACUGCCAACAAAAGUUUUUAUCCGAAGUAAGCUUUUUGAAAAUUGACCCCAUUAUUUACUGUGGCUUAAGCUUUGAGAUAUUGCAUGAUUAUGAAUUGGUUUAUUUAUUGAGGCGUAGCUUUCUGUUUGGAUAUUGUCUGACUUAUAUUUGGUAAAACCGUAAAUGUAGUUUUCGGGAAUACUCAACUAAAAACAAACAUUAUUUGAAACUUUAUGGUCGAACCAUGCUUUGAGAUAUUGGAAUUAUUAGAAUGAAUGAAUGAUUACCACAGCUGCACAACAUGUGGGUUGACUCUACAGCUGCAAAUCAUAUGGUGUUUGAUUGUGGGUUGACUCCACAGUUUUGAUGAUUAAAGUUUUGUUUAGUUGAGUCUGGGAUUUUGUUGGAGAUGAUUGUUUGAUUGUAUCUCAAGUAAGCUAUUCUUUUUGUCUCGUGCUUGACUAUUUUAAAGCCAAGGUGUUUAACUAGUUAAGCGGCCAAAUUUUAGCUUUAUCUUAUUGUUCCUAAUCUGACCAUCACACAUCAAUACUUGGAUUGUAGAUUUUUUAAUUGAUCCUCUGAUGGAUUGUAGCCUUGAUCUUCCCCUUUUUUAGGUUGAAAGGAACUAGUUGAUAUAGAGGUUGUAUAGAGUCUGAUAGGGAAUGGUCAAACCAUUCUUUGUUUUCUUUCGAGAGAUUGCAACAUUACUGUUAUGGAGCUCUCUUCCUAUCAAAUAGAUAUGACGUUGAAUCCAACUUGCCCAAGAUUGUCUGUUAGAUUUUGUGCUGUUACUGCAACAUCACUGUGUUUUUGUGCUGUUUGAAGCUGUUUUCUUGUGAGUUCUUCAUUGUUAUUGGUUGUUGUUUUGAGUUCAACAUGCAGAAAUAUUAACAUGUCCUCAAUUUUAAUUAUAUAUGGAAAACCUUCAAAAUCAAAAUGUUUCAUUCAUUAGCACUACCCCAACAUCAACUAAUGCCCCAACUUCAAACACUAACCCAACAUCAACAACUGCAGGAUCCGCCACUGAUAAUAAAGGUACCCAACUUUAAGUCCUUACAUCAAGGAAAAGAAAUGUUGAUGAUAAAAAAAGUCACAAAUUUGGUAUCAUUUUACAAAACUUGAUGGUGAUCCUACAACCCCUAGAGCUGAAUGUAAUUAUUAUGGAAAGGAUUAUGCAUGUCAUACUAUUAUUAAUGGGACAAGUAAUAUUUGGAGUCAUUUAAAAGUAUGCAAAAAGUUUCCUUUUGUGGUUGAUAAGAAGCAAAAUUUUUUGGUAUUAGAACCUAAUAAAGCAGGGGGUGAAUUAGGAGAUCAAACUGUGGGAACUCUUAAGGCAAUAGGUUAUUAUUAUGAUGAAUGCAGAAAGACACUAGUAAAAAUGGUUAUAAUUGAUGAGUUGCCUUUUAAUUUUGUGGAGGGUAAGGGAUUUAGAUUAUUUUCUAGGACCUUGCAGCCUAUAUUUGACAUUCCUUCUCGUUUCACUGUUAUGAGAGAUUGUUUGAAACUUUAUGUUGAAGAGAAGGAAAGAUUAAAGAGAGCUCUUAAAGGUCAACGAUUAUGCUUAACAACAGAUACAUGGACAUCAAUCCAAAACAUUAACUAUAUGUCUUUAACAACUCAUUGAAUUGAUAAUGAGUGGAAUUUGCAUAAUUGUUUUUGAAUUUUUAUUAAGUUUCCAAUCAUAUGGGUGAGACAAUUGGUCAAGUUAUUGAGAAUUAUUUGUUAGAUUGGGGGAUUGAUAAACUUUUAACUGUUACAGUAGACAAUGCAAUCUCUAAUAGUGUUAUUAUUUCAUAUUUAAAGAAUGUGAUAAAAGAUUGGCCAACGAAUAUAUUGUCAAAUGAACAUUUGCAUGUUAUAUAUUGUGCACAUAUUGUAAACCUCAUUGUGUGUGAUGGCUUGAAAGAGAUUAAUGUUUUGGUUGUUAAGAUUCGAAAUGCAAUUAGGUUUGUGAGAUCCUCACCUUCUAGGCUACUUGCAUUUAAGAAGUGUGCUGAAAAGUUGUAUAUAGAGUGUAAGAAAUCAUUGUGUUUGGAUGUUGCAACUCGAUGGAAUUCAACUUAUCUUAUGUUAGAAGCUGCUGAAAAGUUUGAAAAGGUGUUUAUGAGGUUAGGUCAAAGUGAACCUAGGUAUAUGAGUUACUUUUUGGAGAUUGUUUCAAAGAGGAAUAAAAAAAACAUAGGGCCACCUAGUUUGGAGGAUUGAGAAAAUGCUAGAACUUUGCUAAAGUUUUUAAAGAUCUUUUACAUGGUUACAUUGAGAUUUUCUGGCUCAUUGUAUGUCACAUCAAAUUCUUUCUUCAAUGAAUUGAUUUACAUGCAUACAAACUUGUUGCAAUUGUGUAAAAGUAGAUAUAAUAUUUUAAGUGGAAUGGCAAUGAACAUGAUGUUACAGGUUGAGAAGAAUUGGGGUUGUGAAGCAAAUCAGAAUUUUUUAUUAUAUGUGGCUAAUGUUUUGGAUCCACGUCUUAAGUUGAAAUAUAUGAAAAUUUUUGGUGAGUUGUAUGAUUAUGACAAAGUACAAUUGCUAACAAAGAAGGUAAAAGAUAAUUUGGUGAGCUUGUAUGAGUUUUAUUUGAAAGCCGAUGAAGUGGUGGAUGAUAAUAGGCAUAAACAAGAUGUUAAUGAUGCUAUUGAUGACAUAAAGAUAGAUGUUAAUACUUUAGCUCAAUUCAAAAGGCACUUACAGGAGGAAGAUAGUGUGGAAAAUAGAAAUGAGAUUGAGAGGUAUUUGAUUGAUGGUUUUGGGGAUCCUAAUGAUGAUAAAUUAGAUAUUUUAGGCUAGUGGAAGAUUAAUGCUUCAAAAUAUAAGAUACUUUCGAAAGUUACACAACAUGUUCUGGCUAUUCCUAUAUCCACAGUGGCUUCUGAAUCAGCCUUUAGUACAGGUGGUCGUAUACUCGACCAAUUUCGAAGUUCUCUAUCUCCAGCAACAGUUCAAACACUUAUUUGUUGUCAAAAUUGGUUGCAUCAUGGACCAAUUCCAACUGAUGAUGGAACCUUGAUUAAUGAUUUUGAAACCUACGAAAACCUUGAAGCAAGUAAUGUUUCUUAUAAACUUACACAUUUUAUUUUAUGAUUUAUUAAUUAACACAUUUUUAUUUUUUAUUCUAACAUGUUUAAUUUUUUAUUUUGUAGAAUUCAGUAGAAGGUUGCAUCUAGUAAUAUGUGAUAAUUAGUUCACAAAUUGAUGCAUUUAUUGAAAACAUAUGGUAAAAAUACUAUUUUUUAUUUUUAUAUCUUCUAAUUUAAUUUUUCAUGUUAUAAUUCUAUAUUUUGAAUUUCAGGUAUCAAAGUGGCACUAUUGAGACGAUGCUUCAAUAAAUAAUUUUGAAAGGAAAUGAAAGUGCAAUGUUCUUUUUUAUUGAGACGAUGUGCAAAUGAAGAUUUAUUUUUUUGGCUUGGAGUGUUUUAUGAUAAUAUUAUUUGUUGUUUUUUCUUUAAGCCCUUUGAAGGCAUUGGCUUGUAAUUUGAAUUAAUUUGAAUUUUAAUUUAUUGGUGUGCGACUGUGUGUUAUUUAAACUUUUUUGAAGUACGAGAAAAAAAUUAGAAAGGUAAAAAAUAUAUUGAACUCAAGAUUGACAAUAACAACUUAAUAUAAAUGAAUAUUUAGUGGCAAAAAAAUUAAAUACUUUGGAAUCUUUUAAGAAAAUUAGAUAUUAUUAACAUCAAUUAUAAGCCCAUCAGAAAUCCACUAAAAGCCCAUUACGAAGCCCAUUAAAAGCCCAUUACAAAGCCAAAAAGGUGCCAGAAAAAUAACAAUAGGUUUUUCCGGUUUUGGACCUCAAAACCGGACCCAAACGGAACCAAAACCGGUUGGUUUGGACCGAUUCCAGUUCAGUUUGGGUCCUUUUUUUUUCCGGUUUGGUUGUUUUUUAAAGUUUAAAACUGAACCGAACCGAAAAUGAUCACCCCUACCAUCUGUUUGGGUGAUGUUGGUGGGCCUUGGGCUGGGAGCAUUAUUGUUUUUAUUCUUGGGCUAUUUGUUUCUUUUGCUUGGGCCUGCUACCAAUUGCGUUUAACUCAUCAACUCGUUUUGCAUCUGCCUUUCACUCUGCCUCUCCUCACCUGGUUUCCCGCCCUGCCCUUCCCUCUCAAUUGAAGCCACCAAUGGAAGUGCAUUUUGCAUCAACUUUGAUUGAUGAGAGUUUAGGUAUGAAUUUUCAGCUUGAUUUGAGUCUGAUUGGGAAACCUUUGAAGGAGUCGCUAUGAUAAUCUAUCUCUUUUCUUUACAUGGUUUUGCAUUCCUGCUUUCUCUCUUCUGCACAGUGGUGUAGCUCUAUUGGAAUUCAAUUUACCGUCGUUGGUUUUUUAUCAUCUUCUAGGUUUCCAUUGUCAUUUCUCACCCAUUGUCAUUUGACAGUUGUUUUCCCAUGUAUUGUCCCGAAUUUAUUCAUUUAUUUAGAGUUGAAUUUAGCUCUGUGGUGUUAUUUUCUGCUUUCUUUCUCAGGAUUUUGGCUCUUUUGACGACCUUUUGCUGGCGCAACCACCUGAUGUUCCAUGGCUUAGGUUGGGUGAUGCUGCUCCGGUUCGUGAUUUGCGAUUUUUCUCUAUGAUUCGUAGUUUUGUUUCUUUUCAGAGACCCUGCUGGUUUCUUUUUGGGAAGCACUUUUUGAUUAGGUUUAAGAGCAUGGCCGAGUUUCCUCCUAUUUUUGAUUAGUGGUUUUAUGAUGUGAAUGUUUAGGAAUGUUGUGUGUGUUUGAUUGCCUUCGACUAGGCACGAUCGAAUAGCCUUUGUCAGGGUUAUAUGACCCUUCAGCUGGUUCUUAGGCCUUGUUUGUUUCAAGGAAAGUGAAUUCCAGGAAUUCACUUUUCUUAUUUUCCAAUGUUUGGCAAUCAUCUGGAAACUUGGUCAAAGAAAAAUUAAUUCCGGUCAACAAAAACAGCUUACUUUACCCGCAGGAAAGUGUUUUCCUUUCCUUGUCAAAAGGAAAACACUUUCCUAUCUUUACUGAUAAAACAAUCUAACUCCUCUCUGCAUCUCUAUCAAAACACUAUAUAUAUUUUUGCUGUUUAAUUUGUCUGUCCUGUAUUUUUCUGUGUUUGCCAAUUUUUUUCCCAUACCCAGUUUUCUUCUUCAUCUCCUCGUCACAGUAAAAAAUGCUCACAGAAAAACCCAACCAAUUGCAUCACAAUCAAGCCAUAAAAACCCCAUUGUUUCUUGCACAUUCGGCAGCUGCUUUAGAGAAAUAAAAAUCCCCAAACAAGACCCAACCAGCCCUUACCCUGUUUCCCCGCACUGGAUCCAGCACAAAGAGAGUGACGCGAACAGGAGGGGAAACUGUCGGGUGAAAGAGGGUUGAGAACUGGGGAUGAGGAGCAAAUCAGUGAUAGGCGAGAGAGAACCGAGAGAGAGAGAACAGGGGAAUGGUGAUGGUGUCCUGCCCCUUGAAUCUGUGAUGGUGUCCUGCUUCUUCAGAGAACAGGGGAAUGGUUAGAGAGAACCGAGAGCGAGCAGGGGAAGAGAGACAACCGAGAGAGAACGAUCAAUGAUAGGCGAGAGAGAAUGAAUAGUGAGACGAGAAAACCCAGGGGAAUGAGGGGAAUGGGGGGAUUUUAGAAACUGAAUGAGGGGAAUCAGAGGGGAAUGAGAGGGGAAUUUGAGAAUCCGAAUGAAGAAACCGAUUGAGAGGGGCAUGAGAAACCGAAUGAUAGAAACGGAUUGACAGGGAUGAGAAACUGAAUGAGAUGGGAGUGAGAUGGGAAUGAAACCGGAUGAGAGGAGAAACCGAAUGAUGAUGGGAAUGACAGGGGAAUGAAACCGAAUGAGAUGAUUAAUUAGUUAUGGGAGAGAGUUAGAGAUAGGCGAGAGAGAACAGAGAAAACGGUGGGGUUUUGUUAUAAAGGCUUUUGUAGUUUGUUCAUGUGGUUGUAGUAGAACACUACAUACAUCAUGAGAACUAAUUAUAUUAUAUUUGUAAUUUUAGUUAUAAAUUAUGUGUUUAAUAGUGUAAUGAAAUAUAAUGAAAUACAACUCUAAGUAAGGUAUUGUUCCUCUAAAUUAUGUGUUUAAUUUGUAACUGAUGAUUGGGUUGAUUAGUUUUUUUAUCACACAAAUAUUAUAGACCAGCCUUGCCUACCUAUUACUGCUUGAACUCAACAAUCUCCAUGGUUAUAACUAACAAAUCAAAAUAGAAUAGAAUUGAACCUAGCCAAGAACUCGAUCGUGUGUUGUGUUGCUGCAUACGAGGUGAUUUUCGAAACUUAUGUUUAUUUAAUUAUUCGAUAAUCACAUUAUUAAGAAUUAAAAUGAUUGAUCUUAUUGAUCAUUGUGAACUUAUGAAUUGUAUAUUGUCAGCUUCUUUGAGCAUAAUUUAUUUUGGCUUUCUUCAUAUGAAAAAAAAAACUUAUUUUAAGCUUUUAAAAUUGAAAAAAAUAUAGUAAUAGGUUUUACUUAAAAAAUAUUUCACAAGCUUAUUUCUAUAUAAUAUGAUAUGACAUAUAUAGUAAUAUUUUAUAAAAUAAGCUAUGUAUAAAUAUAUAUUAUAAAAAAAAUUCAUCAUUAUACUUUUUAGAUUUCAUUCUUUUAUUGUAAGUGAUUAAAUAUUUAUAUUAAAUAUUUUAUAUAUAUUAGAUAAACUUAAAAAAAAAAUUAAUUCAUUAAUAAAUUAUUUUCCAGUUUCUUUUCCAUAACAUAACCAAACACUGGAAAGUGUUUUCCAGUUCAUUUUCCAUAACACUAUCAAACAUCGGAAAAUACUUUCCCGGAAUUCACUUUCCAGGAAUUCACUUUCCCCGGAAUUCACUUUUCAAAAGGAAACAACUUUCCUGCAAACAAACGGAGCCUUAAGCAGCUAUGGUUUUCCUUCACUGCAUUCAUUUUCGUAUAGCUAAAUGGUUUUUUCAAAUGGUGUCGAUAUCGACUUUGUCUGGGUCCAUCUUUUUUUGGCCUUCUGCUGUUCUGUUUCUUUAGAAUCUGUCUCUACAGCUUGUGAAAAAAAGAGUGUACUGACACCCUUUCAUCUAAAGCUAGAUAGCUUCAGCGCUUUAGUUAGGUCUGCUGAAACUUCGUCCGCUGUUACCUGCAACAUUUUUUCUUCCAGGUUUGUGCCUGUUCUUUCUCAUUUCGAUUUGGUUCUUAUAUUUUUUUAAGCUUACGUCAAGAAAGCUUCCUAACAAGUGGUCAGCCCGUAACUUUAUUUUGACCUUAACCUGGUUGGUGCUCCUGCCUUUUUAUACACUGUUCCUGCUGUGUCGUUUAAUCCAGGUUAGUUUCUUUUCCUUUUUCAUUGAUCUGCUCUUUGCUUAAGGGAAGGAGGGUGUCAUUUAAUGUUUGUUAACAUUAGUUAAUGAGUAGAUGAAACCCAAACACACAAGAUGAGAUAAAAAGUUAUGUUCUAAUGUUUCCAAUCUAUCAAAAUUGAGUUUCUUCUUAAAAUAAAGUGUAUUCAAGUCUUCAUUGCCACAUCACCCUCCAAUUGUCCAUGUCGUUUUGCAGCUCACAGUAAAUUAGGUGCCUGGAAUAUUUCAAUUCACUCCACUCCCACUGCUGCUGCCAUCAAUUCCGCUCUAUACUAUGAAGUAUGAGCAUGGCUGGCUAGGAGGAUUUGUGGGUAUAUUAACAAAUUAGCAAGUUGCUUCUUUGAUCUAGAUGUUUAGUAAAGGUGAUGCCAGGGGAAAUUAUAAGGGUGGUCUUGGCAUCCGGACUGCUAGAGAAGCCAUCUUUAGAUGGCAGCAAAAGGAUUUCUUCUCUGGCAUGCUAGAAUUCCUGCAGACAUUUGCAACUACCUUUUCCUCUCCUGUGUUUACAAGUAUCCUGUAUCGUCAAAGAAUGAUGAGUCACACAAUAUAGGCUAACAAGUUUUAACAUUACAGUUAAUUGCUCUAAUUCUUCAUCUGCACAUUACCUUCCUUUCUCAAAGAUUUGGCUUGGAAAUACUUACUAUCUUAUAUAUUCCAUCUUUUUGUUGUUUUCGAUUGUGGUUUGUUUUUGUUUUUGUUGUUGUUGAGGACGGUUGCAUUCCGAUAGCGGCCUCUUACCUACUUUUGUUCUAUGUUUGCUCAUGUGCUGUUCAUUAUCAGGUUGUCAUUCUUCAUUGCUUGCUGCAUUUUUUGGCUGCAGUAAUUUCUUUUUCUUUUUUUGGCCUUCUGCUGUUCUGUUUCUUUAGAAUCUGCCUACAGAUUAGUUUCCCACUCCUCUUCUAUGGCAUCCGAAGCAGAUAUCAACAGCAACUCACAUCCCUCAUAAAUCAACAUGUCUGGUGGGUCAGCAGGAACAAACUUUUUGUGCCCAAAUUGGCCUUGUAGGUCAUAUUCCUCUAAGAUGCAACAAGUAAUUAAAAUUUAUGGUCAAAUUGAUGUCCAUGAAACUGCAACAAAAUCCAAUGCUGACUACCCUCCUUUAAGAGCAUUCUUCACAUCUUCUAGUUUUGUUGUGAACAAGUCCACAAAAUCUCAACAAGGGCUCUUUUUCAUUGUUCAUUUCCUACAAUCCAAGAGAAAAAGAAAGCACAUUCAUUGCUCUAACUACUAACUCUAUAUAAACACACUUUUAAAAAGCAAGGAUCAGGUUAGUCUCGGUAGAUGGGACUUAGUUGCUGGCUCGAGCCUUUGUGAAUCUAUUACAAUUAAUUACCUGCAUCCAUGCUCACCUUCACUUCCAUUCUUGCCUGCAGAAGCACUACUACUACCACCAUCAUGAUCAAUACUUGAAGAACCUUUUUAGAACCUUCUUUACCAGAUUGAGGGGAUUGCUUCUCUUCAACCGCUCUCUCGCCAGACUCUGGCCUUAGUACCAAGUACAAUUGAACGUCAUCAGGGCUAUGAGCUUCUUCUUUCUCAACUCUUGGCCUAUAGAAGAAGAAUAUUUCACCUCUUUCCUACAUAAUUUUUCAGUUUUUCCAUAAAUAAAACCGCUCGUGAGUACUAUAUUCAUAACAAUAAGUUCCAUAGAUAAAAUAAGAGAGAGAGAGACAAACCUAGGCUUCACUUUUAGUCUUGACUUCUUCACCUUGUCCCAUUAUUUUAUCUGUUUCCUUUUGUUGAUUUCAAGUAUUAGAAGAAGCUGAUGAAUGCAAGAACUAAGAAGUGGCGGUGUUUAACUUGUUUGCAAACUCAGAAAGGAAAGAAGCAUGCAAGACACCUCACAGUAACAGUCCCUUUUCUUUCCCACUCUUUAGGAGUUUUGCGUAAGUGUCACUUAUGCGAACUCAAACUUACACACAAACUUAUCCUAACUCAAUCAGAGUUCAACGCAGCAUUAAUAACAAAAUCAACUUCAUAAUAUAAUUGAAUUGUCUUAAUACAAGAGUUUAUAUAAGUUCAGAGUUUUGGAGCACUAACUAAACAUAAAGGAAAGGUACAAAGUACAAUCAAAGAGCAGGUUCUGAAGGUCCAACAAAAUGACCUGCUAUCAAGCUAUAAGCCUGAAAAGGAUAAAUAAUGAGAUGGUGAGUUCAACAACUCAGUGAGUAGAUAACGUUCAAUAUACACACACGAGGUAAUAAAACAAUGAGAAAUAUAUAUAUAAGUAUGGCUCUAGGUUCUUAUAGGAAGGUUUCUCAAAUAGGCCAUAACAAGAAUAUCAGAAGGUAAAGCUCGUUAGAAAAUCAAAAUGUAAUGAGCAUGAGGCUCCGUACUGUGGGAUGAUCAGUCCACACAGGUUAGUGACUCCCCCGACCAACUAGGGUUCAGAUACGAUGUGCACAAAGACUAACACUACCCUGUUAGCAUGGGUAUUCUGACUUACAUACCAUAGGUUCAUAAUCAUAAUCAAACAGACAUAUUCAUAUCUCAAGGCUCAACUCAUGACAUCAAUCAAAUGAGGAGCUAUCAAUUCAGAAGUCAUUUCAAAAUAUAUACUGGUUCAUAUCAAGAAUUCAGAUUCAACAAUUGAUCAUGCUUUAUCAUAACAAAGAUAAUAAUCAACAUAUAUAUUAUCAAGAAGCAUGAUCCAAUUCAUAUUAACAAAUCAAAUAUUUAUAAUAUUUCUCAUGCAUAUGGAAAAUUUUCCACUCACCUGACUCGAAAGCAAACAGAAGUCAAAAGCAGACAUCGAAGAAAAUCCUACUGACGUCCCGCCGGUAGAAUAUCAGGAUUAUCUGAAUACAAAGGAAACAUAUUCAAGAACGACUUGAAAGAACAUAUAACCUAUUUAAUACACUUAUCUAAGGGUGUAUUCCAUAACCCUAUAUGUUUUUGAACUAACUAGUUAUUUUUCCUAAAAACCCAACAUUUAACGGUUUUCCCGAAAUCUAAUCCAUAAUAAAACAAAUAAUAAAAUUGGUAAUAAUUCACUAAAUAACCCUCAAUUAUUCAUCAAACCAAUCUAAAAAAGUUAAUAUUACAGCUGGGGACUAAUCUGUAAUUUAUCAUAUUUUUAAGGGUCAAAUUGUAACUUUUGUCUAAUUGAAGGACCAAACUAAAAAUAUCAUAAAUCCAUGGCUAUACUGAAAUUAUGUCCAUAAUUUGUCCUCAUUUCUGUCCAGAAUAUCUCAUUAUGCUCCAGGGACCAUUCUGGAAUUUUUCCAAAUUUUUAGGGUCAAAUUGUAUUUUUUUGUCAAAUUGGAGGACCAAAUUGAAAGUGUUAAAAUUUCAUAAUUAUACAGGAUUUCUGCCCAUAAUUCAUCUUUUAUUCUGUCCACAAUCUCGGAAUAGGCUCCAGGGACCAAUCUGUAAUGUUCCAAAGUUUGGGGACUAAACUGUAAUUUUCACAAAUUGAGGGACCAAACCGAACUUUUUGUCAUCUUCAACCUCCAACCCAGAAUUUCAACAGAAAACCCACUGUUCUUUCCUUAUUUCUAACACAAAUUCAUCAUUCAAACAAAAUCAUAACUCAAAAUCAUCAUAAUUUUUCAUAAUCAACUAAAUAAUCAAUUACCCACAACAAUCAACCCCAUAACAUUCAAUUUAAUUCAUCAAUUAAACCCAAAAUACAAAUUUUCAAAACCCUAACAUUCAUCAAAACUAAAAUUAAAGUUCAAUUAACAUACAUUUAUACAUUUAACAACCUAAAUCUUACCUUUAAACUUAUUUCUUCAAUUCCUUUCUCUUCUCCUUCUUCUUUCCCCUUUCUCUCCUGCCGGUUUGCUCUCUUAAUUUCAGAUCACUCUCUUUUCUUUUUUUCUUUCUAUUUAUAUUUAUGAAGUUUGUUGAAUUACUACAAUACCCUUCAUUCAUCCAUUCCUACAUCUAAGCCUUCAAGUGCUUUAUUGUAUUUUCCUACUCAUUUAUUCAAAACAUCACACUGAGAGUUUCAGAGAGUUCAUACGCAAAGGAAUCGUUUCAAUACUAACCUGAGUUAUUGAAACUUGACUGGGGUUGGUGGGAGUUGCAGAAGUUUGGCUAAGGUUGGUGGGAGUUAUUGAGAUUUGACUGAUGGGAGGAGUUAUUGAAGCUAGGCUGUGGUUGGGAGAGGGGCCGAAACCUUCAGCGUAAAAAAGGUAGUUCAUCUUUUCUUCAGCUAAAUCUCUCAGUCUGUUGAGCUCUGGCAAGACUUCUGUGCCAAGAUCUGGCCUGUCUUUCCGUCUCAGUUCUGCACAUUGGAGUGCAAGCUUUGCAAAACAUAAAGCCUCUUCAAUUGGCCAAUCAGGCACAGCUGAGUCUAGAAUUUCUUUGAGCGUCUCAUUUUCAAUAUCUUGUUCAACAAUGUGAGUCAAGCCCAAUAUUGGUGACUUGGCUGUUAUGACUUGCAGAAGCAAGAUCCCGAAGGAAUAUACAUCAGAUUUCACACCAAUAAUUCUAAUUUGUUGAUACUCUGGAUCUAGCAGAAAGUUCCAGCAGCUGAUGUCAUGUGGUAUUGUGUUCCAUUCUCAGAAGUAGUCGGAACAAGCCUGGCCAACCCAACAUCACUAAUCUUACUGGUGUAAUUGUUGUCUAGCAAAAUGUUUCCUGGCUUGAGGUCACGGUGAACCAGUGGCUCUGGCUUGGUCUGAUGGAGAAAGAGCAGACCUGUGGCUAUCUCAUCCACAAUUCGGAACCUUUUAUUACAUAGAGCACUAUCAAGUUCCAUAAACAACAGCUAGUAAUCUAUCCAGUCUCCAAGUACUCCUAACGAAUCAAGUCCCAUGAAAAAGCCUCAGAAGUUCUUCUACAUACAAUUGAUCUACCAUGCAAGAACAACAUGUCACGGACAUGUCAGCACCAUCAGCAAGCUCAUAGUCUCACAACCACCUUAGUUUCUUAACCAGGAGCCCCAUCAGUAUCUCCAAGCAAGAGGAAAUGAUUUAGUUUCAAUAAUAAUAAUAAUAAUAAUAAUUAAGACAAGUUUUAAUCUUUAGAGGAGAGAUCAAUGAAUGUAAUGUAUAUGUUAGAACCCAACUUCCAACGGUUACUGUUUGGCUUAUAUACAUAAAUGAUCUAUCAAAAUCUCAGAUUUUUAGUGCUUCAUCUCUUUCCUUUCUGACCAUUCAUCAGUGGAUCAGGUUGAAAGAAAAAUAAUUUUUUUAAAAAAUGUUCUUGAUAUGAUUAAUCUUAGGAUCCCACUUCAAAAAAUUGAAAGAAGCGAAGAAAGAGUAUAAUGUGAUAUAUAGAUUCCAUUCUUUUUUAUGGAGUUGUUGCUUUAACUACUAUUGCCAAACUUGUUGUGCCUUUACUAUCCAGUCCUGCAUAUGGAGAUAAAAAAGCAGGUUGGUUUAAUUUUAGCUAAAACUUAGAUGUUUUGCCAUUUUAUGCACUUGAUGUUGGUGAAUUUGUGCUUGAUUAAAUUCUAAAUUAAUAAUUGGUUGUAUUUCUUGGUUGAAUUGUCUUUAUCCUCCUCCUUGGGCCAAAAUAACAUAGUAAAAUGCACAGCAGCUUGGCUUUGAAUCAUUUGUCAACGUUUUCUUGUCUUUAUCCUCCUCCUUGGGCCAAAAUAACAUAGUAAAAUGCACAGCAGCUUGGCUUUGAAUCAUUUGUCAACGUUUUCUACUUCUUGUGCCUUUAUUUUUUCUGGACAAGUCUUUCUGAUCUCUAUUUCGUACAACCAGGAAUUUAGGAUGGAGAUGUGAAUGAGAUGAUAUAUGAUUUUUUUUAAAGAGUGUAGAAAGGCUAACUUAAAAUUUGGGGUACAUCCACAUUUUCCCUGUAAACACCUGCCUUGAUACGAAUUAUGUACCUUUUGCUGCUUUUCUUUAGUGCAGCUGCAGUUGCACCUGAUACUGUCUUGUAAUUCCCACUUCCACCAGCCGCCACCACCACAUCCAGAGCCACGGAUGAUGAUUGCAACAGCCUCCUGUCUGCUACUGACAUCCACUCCGGCCACUCACUUUCAUUACCUUCUUUUUCCUGCAUGAGCUUCCUGUUUGUGGUCAUGAGCUCAUUUGCAACGUCUGUGUCUGUCAUAUUCUUGAUCAAGAAAACCCAGGAUAAACUAAGGCAAGACUUUGGAAUGCAGAUUUAAAAUUGCAGCUCUGAUACCAUGUUAAUUUGGUUAAUGAUCUUCUUUCAUAAGAGUUUUUUUCAUUAAAUAGUAAGAAUUCUGAUUUACAUUUCAUAAAAUCUGCUAGUAUUAAAUGUCGGUCUAAUUAUAAAAAGCUAAUUAUUCUAUAAUUACACAAAUAUUUACAGUUAUUUUCUUCAUAUAAAUAACAAAUAUGUAUAUAAAAACUGAUGAUUCUGCUGAAAAGUACCAUGCUAACAGUUAUGGCAGAGCUUAACAGGGUUUUGAGGUCAUCUGCAUGUUUUUUUAAUGGAAUCUACGGCCUUCCAUCCCUACCAAGAUAGACACACUAUAGCUGUAAUAUAAGGAAAUGACUAAAUUACUUAAAAAUGAGAGAUUGAAUCUAAGCUGUUGAUAUAAAACCAUGAGAAAAAUCCAAUUCAUCUGUCCAUGUCAAAAUGGUUUCCCUCUCAUACCAAAACCAACCAUUUGGCGCCAUUUUACAACUGUCAUAACUGUCACAAGUUAAGGAAAGAAUUGCACAAGGUUGUUUUCAAAUCUAAUGAACCUUAGACAAUAUGACCAUUAGGAUUUAGUUAUAGCUAUACGCGCGUUUUAUUAGUGCAGGGUUUGUUAAGAAAAGAUGCCACGUGUGGCCAGUAGCGAGAAUAUAGGAAGUUAUCUUCAUAUAUAAGAUUUGUAACAGAACUGGAGAAGGAUAAUAAUGAAUGAAUGUUGAGCUGAAUUCGUGGAAUUCUCUUCUAUCUCUCUUUUCUUCUUCCAUUUGCUCACUAACCUGUAAACACCAUGACUGGAACUUGGCUACCAGCCAUUUCCAUCACUAAGGCACCUCUGGAUGUUUUCCAGAUUGGUUCCCACUCAAUCAGACACGCAACACUUCUCCUUUUAUUUUCAUUUUUAUUCUCAUUCUUAAAAUCUCUAAGAAGAAAUGGUGAGGAAGAGUAGAAGCCGAGUCUACUGAUGGGUCUGUUACUACCACUGCUGCAUCGCUUGUUCGUGCGAAAGAUGACAGUGGUUUUGUUAAAUGGUAUUUACUUGCGUCCCCCAGCCUUUUUUUUUUUUUUGGGGUGGGGGGUUCUUAUUUUGUGUUAUUAAUUUGAAUUUGGAGAUUUUCAAGAAAAGUAGCUAUGAUUUGUUUGAUUUAAAAAAAAAAAUUCUGGGUUUUUCUAUUUUUGUGUUCUUGAAUUGAUUUUGGGUUUUGGGGUUUAAAAUUAUGGGUUCUUUGAUUUUUUGAAGAAAUUGAGUAACCCGGUUGAUUCUUUAACAAACUCCGUUUCUGGGUGUUUCUAGUUUUGUGUUCUCGGCUUGAUUUUGGGGUUUUCAGCCAUGGUUCUUUGAAAGAGGGAACAUGGUUACAGAAAUUAAGGAAUCAGUGAAGUAAUUCAUGUGUUCUGCUUUUUUGAAUUGAUACAUGCAGUGACGACGAGUGCAGGAAGGAUAUGCCAGUGGCUUUAUAAGUUUCCACGGCCAUAGCCUUGAUGCUGAAAUCAAGAUGAAUUCGGGUUAGUUCAAUUCCAUAAUUAGACAAUUAAUUUUUUCAUUUGCUAGUUGGUUAAUCACUAAGUGGGUUUUAAUUGCUUGUUAUGAUUUAGGGCCUCAAGUUGUUGAAAAGCCAGCUGAAGCCAAGAAGGAAUAGGCUAAGAGGCACUAAUUUUGUUUUCCUAUCCGAUUAAUCAACUGAAUAUAUGUUAUGAUUUGGGGAUUGUGAAUUAGUUAUUUGGUUUGUAGGAAGACAACAACCUUGACAGAACCGAAAGCGAAGAAAGAGGAGAAGGGCAAGGAUCUAAAUGUACUGAAAAGGCCUCCCACACAGCUCAUCUUCUCCUUUGUUGCAGUAUUUUUGCACUGGCCAUUAACUUGUUUUUUCCCACACUUCUCUUCUAAUUCUAGAUUGAAGGCACCAGGAACUGAGCUCUUUUUGUGUUGCUGGAUGGCUUCUUUCUGGCCUUCUGGCAUGCAAAUUUAGCGCGGCUUAUCAGCCCUUCUCCUCUUUCUUUUCUGCUUGAGUUUUCCGCUUGUUUUGUGAGAGAUUCGUUGCUGAUGUGGCUGCUUUUUGCUCUGGUUCGCAGGUCAGUCAUUCCUUGAUUGGUGCACUAUAAUGAUUGUCCAUGAAAUGUGCUCCAAUCUGGCAAGUUGUUCAUAUUGUAAUUUGUGUUGGGGGAAGUGCUGAUUGCCCGCCAUUCCAUCUUCUCUGUGGGUGGUAGCUAGGUAUGGUCUUCAUGUAACCAAGUUUAAUAAAGUCUUAUUUUCAGUUUCAUUUGAUUUGCUUUUUUUAUUUAUUUCCCACACACCCUUACCACUCCAUUUCACUUCUUUUUAGGAUGGGCUGCCAUGUUUGCUUUGGCUAUCACAGCUACUGCCCGGAUUAGCUUCUUUCUUGUCGUGUCAAGUUGUCUAAUUUUGUUUUUUAAGAGAGUAACGGAUUAGCCCUCUCGGUUUCUUUCUUGCAUUUGUUUUCUGGUUUUCUCUAUGCUGUUCUUGGCUUUGGUUCUUUAUUUUUUUUCUCAUGGCAAUCCCUGUUCAUUGUUAAUUUUUUAUUUCGAUUGUGAGUAUGGCUGUAAAAAUUGGUUUUGCAAAUUUUUGUUGAAUGUUUUUGGACGGUGGCUGUAUCAGUUGUUUUGAUCUAUUUGCUCUGCAUCUAUUUUGGCUUUUGGUUAUUUUUUACUCUUGCAAUUCCUAGUUGGUGUUUUUUCUUUGGGUUUUCGCCGCAGUUGUUUUCUCUUAUACAUUGUGCAUGCACUUUUUUACCCUUUUUGUUUUUUAUCUUAUAUAUUGUUUUCUCAUUUCAUUUCGCUGGCUCAGCAUCCUAUUCAUCACUAGAUUUACGACUUUGCAAGGUGCUCUAUUAGCGAUCUCGGGCCCUAUAAUCAGGUUUUUUAAGAGGUUUUUAUUCUUCUCUUUUUCACUUUUUUUUUUGUUAGUUUCCUUGAGUUUUCCAGCCUGUUGUGCAGCACAUUUAUUCUCCUUUGAAACCAAAGAAUGAAUUAAAGAGAUUUUAGUGAGCAAUUUUACUUGUCUAGGUAGCUUUACUCUUGGAUGGUAGUUGUAGUGCAUAUAUUCACAUGUUUAUCCACCAUCCAGCCCGACAAACACUAUUCUGCAGAAGCUUUAAAUAACCAUUAUGCGGCUUCCUUCAGUCUUACAGGUUCGACUGCACAUACAAUAGUUAAAACAGCCACCUUGUUGUCAGUCUUGGAAAGAAAAACAACGCUAAACUGCAAAAUGCAGAAUGAUAUCGAUUGAGUAGAGAAAAAAUGGGACUUGUACAUGGUUUCUACAAUAUUCACAAUAUGAGUGCUCUUCAUAUUCAAGUAAUACAGGAAGGAAGGCAUGCAUGAUAAUAUAAAAAACAAAUCAGGAUGAAUAAUCAUUUCUUUUAUGGCAAUAAUCAUCUCUUUUAAUUAUCGAUUGAGUUGAGAUGCGACACACUCUUUGUUCUUGUGGAUUUCUAUGCAUCUAUUUACAGCUGAUAGUCUACGAUGCUGGCCAAGUAAUACCAUGCUCUCUCACUGUUCUGGAACCAAAUCUGAAAUAUACUCUUGUGGGUUUAUAUCCUAAUGUUUUUUUUAUGGACGUGUGAUACUGGUAAUGGAGAAGAACUUCUGUACUGAUGCUGCUGGAAACAGAAUUUACAAGAGCUGCCAAUUCAAUUUUCUUUGUGCAUUUUGGUGAGUUUGGUUGUUCAUUCCUCAAGUUUUUUUUUGGAACCAGCAUUUUUCUUCAAAACUAUUUUCUGCUUUGAGCUCAAUAAGAAGGAUUAAACCAAAUUGAUAUUUUUAUGCAUGUAACUAACAGAAGUUGAACUGUUAAGAUUUUGCAUCCCUUUUACAUUGGAUUCUUGCGUUAUAAUAUUUUAUUUAUAGAUAUAUAGAAGCAGAUUGUUUCUGUAUUUCUUAGUUAAGAAUUGAACGUACUGCAAGACUUCAAUUAAGUAUCAUCCUCCUGCAGCCUUUUGUUUCAUCCAUUUCUGUUUCAAUCGAGUUUUCUUAUCUUGCUCUGUUCACUUUGUUUAUUCUACAGAUAGAAGAAGUGUGUUUGUUGACCUGAGGAUCCACAUUCCAGAUAAGCUUCUUCAACUUGCUCUAAUAAAAAAAAAAAAAUAGAAGUUACAUUGCACACACAUAAAAAUUCACAUUCAUAUCCAUAUUAACCGCUUCUAUCUUAGUGAGAAGCUGUCAGCUCCAUCCAUUUUUACAUUCUGACAAACACACUUAUCUCAUAAAGACCACAGAAAACUGUCUAUGGCGUCUUCAAGUUUCUUCAACUUACAUUGUAUACACAUAAAAAUUCACAUUCAUAUCCACCCUUCUAUCUUAAUGAGAAGCUGUCAGCUCCAUCCAUUUUUACAUUCCGACAAAAACACAUAUCUCAUAAAGACCACAGAAAACUGUGCAAGCCACACAUUUAUCCACCAUUUAGCCCGAUAAACACUAGUCUGCAUAAGCUUCAAAUAACCAUUCCAUGGCGUCGCGUCUUGGAGGUUUCUACAACAGUUAAAAUAGCUAACAUGGUGUUAGUCAUUGAAAGAUAAACAACGCUAAAAUUCAAAAUGGUUGGAGUUAGAUAAUAGAUUAUCAAUAUAUAAUUUAUAAAUCCAUAUUUUAUAUAAACUGGAGCCAAGUUUGCCUUUUUUUCUUUUUUAAAUCUUGGGGUCAACUAUAGUGUUUUUAGCUUUAAUUGUAUUUGCUACUAAAAAGGGAUUGGUUAGAAAUCUCACUAAUAAUCUUAUUGGUUGUUAUUUAAAUGCGAGUUUUAUUAAUUGGUUAAUCUUAAGAUUUAUAGUGGUUUGUUUAAAGUAUCAUAAUUGUAUAUAAAGUUGAUGAUUUUAAAAUAAAUAAUACUGCAUGGACAAUGCAAUUAUUUUUAAUAUAUGGAAAAAAUCUUAAUAAAUACAAGUUAAAUUAUGUUGUAAGAAUGAUAUUAGAGUAAUGAUUGAAAGAAUGCUGGAUGGCUAUUGAUUUUAUCAUUGAUAAGUAUAUAUUCUAAUACAUAGUAAAAGCUAAUUAAUAAUGGCUUACUACAAAGUAACGGAAUAAUUUAAACCCCAACUUACCUGUACACGUCUACCCUCUAUAUUAUAUUGAUUGUUGGGAUAUGAGAAAUCUUGGGCCACUCAGAGCCAUUCUCCUUUCUACAAUUUUCUUUAAGAUGUGGACAUGCAUUCAUCCCCAACUUCUUUAAUUUGGAGAGGCAUUGAAUGGUUGUUGAACUUGGCAGAUACUUGAGAUUCUUGCAAUUCCAAAUAGCAAGAGAUUGAAGAGAAGAAAGGUUGGCCAACCAAUCUGGCAAAGCUUCCUCAAACUCAUCUCCAUCGAAAUUACAUAUCCACAAUCCCUCAAGGGCAGUGAGGUGUUGAAGUUGGUGAGGUACACUCUUCAGUUUAUCCCAUCCAUAUAUGAAUAGGGUUUCAAGGGACCCACUCAAGUUGAGGUGUUGCAAUGAGUUUAAAACUCCUGCAGGAAAAGCUUCCAUCUCCUCUGAGAAACCACCGAUUAUCAAUUCCUUCAGUUGGGUGAGGCCGCCUAAGCAAUCAUCCUCUGGGAAAUCACUCAAACUCCGACACCCAAAGAUUUCUAAAUGACCAAGAGAAGUCAAUUGUCGUAAACCAUGCCAAUCAAUUCUGAUGAGCUUAUCACAUGACAUUAUAUCUAAUCUUCGAAGUGAAGUCAAUUCUUGUAAAUCACUGAUAUGGAUAAGCUCUCUCCAAUUCAAUAUCCGCAAUACCUCUAGCGAAGCGCAACAUUGUAGUCCGCUUGGAAGAGCUUCCAAUUUACAACUAUCAAUAAACAAUGUCUUCAAAGAAUACUUCAAUUCUCGAAAAUCACCAGGAAUUGAGAUCAACUCAUGACAGUCAUCUAUAAAUAAUCCCACCAGAGCUGUGCAAUGCUGUACGCUUGGAAUGGAUGCCAGCUUCUCACACCUCUGUAUCCUCAAAAACUGAAGAGAUGUGGAUUCUUGAAACUCACCAGACAAAUAUCUCAGUUCCUCACAUCCCUCAAUUUCAAAUCGUACAAGAGAUGAAAGACGACAUAUCGGAAUGCUUUUCAACUUACCACAACUCUCAAUCCUCAACCAUUCAAGACAAGGAAAUACUUGAUAACCUUCUCCACCUGGUACCAUCCAUUCUUCAAGACCAUCCAUCCUGGAUAGAGUGAGUUAGUGCUGGAAACAGUACUGCUGCGCUGCCUCUGCUGCUAUAGAACUCAUUGCCUAUACAUUUCACAUUCGGCAUUCCACUCAUCUCUAGAAUCUUAAGGCGAGGAAGACAUCCAAGUGUUGGGAGUUGCCUCAACUUGCCACACUGCCGAAUGCUCAACUUUUCAAGACAAGGAAAUACUUGAUAACCUUCUCCACCUGGUACCAUCCAUUCUUCAAGACCAUCCAUCCUGGAUAGAGUGAGUAUUUGUAGUGCUGGAAACAGUACAGGUGCGCUGCCUCUGCUGCUAUAGAACUCAUUGCCUAUACAUUUCACAUUAGGCAUUCCACUCAUCUCUAGAAUCUUAAGGCGAGGAAGACAUCCAAGUGUUGGGAGUUGCCUCAACUUGCCACACUGCCCAAUGCUCAACUUUUCAAGACAAGGAAAUACUUGAUAACCUUCUCCACCUGGUACCAUCCAUUCUUCAAGACCAUCCAUCCUGGAUAGAGUGAGUUUUUCUAGUGCUGAAAACAGUACUGCUGCGCUGCCACUGCUGCUAUAGAACUCAUUGCCUAUACAUUUCACAUUAGGCAUUCCACUCAUCUCUAGAAUCUUAAGGCGAGGAAGACAUCCAAGUGUUGGGAGUUGCCUCAACUUGCCACACUGCCCAAUGCUCAACUUUUCAAGACAAGGAAAUACUUGAUAACCUUCUCUACCUGGUACCAUCCAUUCUUCAAGACCAUCCAUCCUGGAUAGAGUGAGUUUUUCUAGUGCUGAAAACAGUACUGCUGCGCUGCCACUGCUGCUAUAGAACUCAUUGCCUAUACAUUUCACAUUAGGCAUUCCACUCAUCUCUAGAAUCUUAAGGCAAGGAAGACAUCCAAGUGUUGGGAGUUGCCUCAACUUGCCACACUGCCGCAUGCUCAACUUUUCAAGACAAGGAAAUACUUGAUAACCUUUUCCACCUGGUACCAUCCAUUCUUCAAGACCAUCCAAACCGCAUAGAGUGAGUUCUUUUAGUGCUGGAAACAGUACUGCUGCACUGCCACUGCUGCUAUAGAACUCAUUGCCUAUACAUUUCACAUUAGGCAUUCCACUCAUCUCUAGAAUCUUAAGGCGAGGAAGACAUCCAAGUGUUGGGAGUUGUCUGCUCUUGCUGCAAUCUUUUAAUCUCAGCUCAAUCAUAUUAUUGAGUUGCAAUGUAGACAUCCAUGAUGGGAAAUAUUCACCCCAGUAACCCUCAAUUGUCAAGCUUCUUAUGUCUGGGUGAGGUUGCAGGCCUUCUAGCACAUACUCGUUGUUAACAUUGUUGUUACCUUCAAGGCUCCAUUCAAGCACCAAUUUGUUCAUUCUUUUUUCACGCAGUUUUGCCUUCUCAGCUUCUUCUCUGUCUCUAACUUGCUCAAGCUUGCAUAUCUGCAAUUCUCCUCUUAGUUCAUUCAAACAUCCCAGCUCUUCAACCAUAUGAUUUGGACCCACAACAAAAAAAGGCAGAGUUUGAAGGCGUGUUAAGAGUCUCACCUCAGCUGGCACUAGCUUUGGAUCAUCAAAAUAAAGAUGUCUCAAGCUGACUAAAUUUCUCAUUUUCUUGGGAAGCUUUUCUAGUGACUUGCAAUCAAUGAAUCUUAAUGUUUCCAAAUGGUAGAGCUUGGUGAUGGAUUCUGGCAAUGCUCUGAUACUGGUACGUGAGACAUCAAGAUAUCUCAAAUGUCUCAGCUUGCAAAUUGGAUCUGGUAACUCAUUGAUAUCAGACCGUUGCAAUUUGAGAGUUCUCAAGCUUUUGAAUUUGCAAGACCCAUUGAAUACAUCAACCAUUGAGAAAACAGUUCGCAAUUUUCUAGCAUCAACCGCUGUUAAUGCUGACUCAACAUCCCCACAAGAUAUGAGAUUUAGAUGACGAAUAUAAGAUGCACCAUCGACAGCCGAAUCCGCCUCCAGAUUUAACGCUUCUGAUUUUGAGACCUGUAAUGCAAGAUCAUGCACAAGAUCAUGCAUCUUGCAACUUGUUACGAUCUCAUACCCAUUCCUUUCAACAUCUUGGAAAAAGGAAUUUGCAAGCAAGUCAUUGAAACACUUGUUGCCUUCAUCUUCCAUCCUCGCAUUUGAUGGCCUGAGAAAACCUUCAGCCAUCCAAAGUUGAAUUAGCUCUUCCCUUUCAAUUUUAAAAUCUUUAGGAAAAAUAGAACAGUAUGCAAAACAUUUUUUCAGUGAUGGCGAUGACAGGUGAUCAAAACUGAGUCUCAAUAUGCGCAAAGCUUUUUUACUUCCAUCCCGAGAAUCCCAAUUUCUACUGUUUAGAAUUGACUUCCACACAUCUGCCUGCUUUCCGUGAAGAGUUCCUCCCAAAACAUUAGCAAGCAACGGAAGCCCUCCACAUUUCUUUGCAAUCUCUUUUCCAAUAGACACCAAGUCUGAAGCUAUUGUUUCUCCUCCACCCCCACUCACCUUUUGCUUGAUAAUGGACCAACAUUCAUCAUCUGUUAGUUUUCCUGGCUCGUGCUGAAUCCCAGGAGAAGUCUCCAUCAUGUCUGCGACUUGCUUUUUGCGGGUUGUAACAACAACACCAUUCCCAUUCAUGCUGUUAAUUUUUAACAGUUGCUCCUUCAAAUCAUUCCACUUAUCAAGGUCUUCAUUCCACACGUCAUCAAGAACAAGAAAAAAUGUCCUCUUUUCCAGCUUUUUCUUAAGGUUUUCCAUAAUUGCAUUUAGGUUGCUCAACCUACUUGUAGUUUCAUCAACAUUUUGCAACAUCUCUCCUAAAAUCCUCCCUUGACUAAAAUCAUUAGAAACACAAACCCAGAUUGUUAAAUCAAAGUGUUUUCUCUCCCGCACUACUUCACAGACUUUUUUUGCUACAGUAGUCUUUCCAAGGCCAGCCAUCCCCACUAUAGGGACAACCGAAAGGACAUGUUGGUGUUUGGUCAAGCUAGUCAGCAAUUCCAUAACUUUAGAGACAUCACCCUCCCUUCCUACAACUUCUGAGCUGUCAAGGAACGAAUGUGUCUCUCGAUCUCGGUCCCAGCUAACUUCUUGAGCUCUAUCUACAGGUAGAGAUGUCAAUCCAAGCCCAAAUCCGGCUGCAUCUUUCCGGAUUUCAUCCAGGUCUUCAUUGAUCUUCUUAACUUUUCGACCCAUAUUCAAACGGAAUGCAACAGGUUUGUAGAGUGAAAAACAAUCACGUACCUUUCCCUUGUUUUGUUUUUUUCGAAGAAUCUCAUACGCAAACUCGUCUAGAACAUCUUCAGCAUCAUAAGCUACAACCUGUAGGUUCUGCAGCCAACGCUUCACAGACUCGUCUGUUACUGCCCUUCUGGCUGCGUCUUGGAGCACAUCUUUGAUCAUGGUCAAGGACUGGUUGAGCUUUCGCAGCUGGCCCUCCAAUCCCCAAGCAAGUCCGAUCCCUUCAGCAGCAAGGGAAAUCACCCUUUUCAAAGUCUCCUCCAAGGCAAACGUAAGAAGAAGCUCUGCUGCCAUAUUCUCUCUGUUUUUUUUUUCUUUCUUUUUUUUUUGGGGGGGCGGGGUCAAAGAAGAAAUUUUGAGCACAAGAGAGAGAGAAGUAUGGUGUGAAAUAUUAAAAGAUGAAACGAAGUGUGUUGGGAAUGAUGAGAUACAGAGCAUAGUUGCAUGAGGGUCCCUUCCACCCUAAUUGAUUGAUGGCUGUUGGCAGCAUCUUCCACGAACCACUACUGUCAAGUUGUCAUAAUAUAGUUGGAG